rnacentral:rRNA from 1 species
UACGUAGGGUGCAAGCGUUAAUCGGAAUACUGGGCGUAAAGCGUGCGCAGGCGGUGAUGUAAGACAGAUGUGAAAUCCCCGGGCUCAACCUGGGAACUGCAUUUGUGACUGCAUCGCUGGAGUGCGGCAGAGGGGGGAUGGAAUUCCGCGUGUAGCAGUGAAAUGCGUAGAUAUGCGGAGGAACACCGAUGGCGAAGGCAAUCCCCUGGGCCUGCACUGACGCUCAUGCACGAAAGCGUGGGGAGCAAACAGG